rnacentral:rRNA from 1 species
AGCGUACACGGUGGAUGCCCUGGCAGUCAGAGGCGAUGAAGGACGUGCUAAUCUGCGAUAAGCGUCGGUAAGGUGAUAUGAACCGUUAUAACCGGCGAUUUCCGAAUGGGGAAACCCAGUGUGUUUCGACACACUAUCAUUAACUGAAUCCAUAGGUUAAUGAGGCGAACCGGGGGAACUGAAACAUCUAAGUACCCCGAGGAAAAGAAAUCAACCGAGAUUCCCCCAGUAGCGGCGAGCGAACGGGGAGCAGCCCAGAGCCUGAAUCAGUGUGUGUGUUAGUGGAAGCGUCUGGAAAGGCGCGCGAUACAGGGUGACAGCCCCGUACACAAAAAUGCACAUACUGUGAGCUCGAUGAGUAGGGCGGGACACGUGGUAUCCUGUCUGAAUAUGGGGGGACCAUCCUCCAAGGCUAAAUACUCCUGACUGACCGAUAGUGAACCAGUACCGUGAGGGAAAGGCGAAAAGAACCCCGGCGAGGGGAGUGAAAAAGAACCUGAAACCGUGUACGUACAAGCAGUGGGAGCCUCUUUAUGGGGUGACUGCGUACCUUUUGUAUAAUGGGUCAGCGACUUAUAUUCUGUAGCAAGGUUAACCGAAUAGGGGAGCCGAAGGGAAACCGAGUCUUAACUGGGCGUUAAGUUGCAGGGUAUAGACCCGAAACCCGGUGAUCUAGCCAUGGGCAGGUUGAAGGUUGGGUAACACUAACUGGAGGACCGAACCGACUAAUGUUGAAAAAUUAGCGGAUGACUUGUGGCUGGGGGUGAAAGGCCAAUCAAACCGGGAGAUAGCUGGUUCUCCCCGAAAGCUAUUUAGGUAGCGCCUCGUGAAUUCAUCUCCGGGGGUAGAGCACUGUUUCGGCAAGGGGGUCAUCCCGACUUACCAACCCGAUGCAAACUGCGAAUACCGGAGAAUGUUAUCACGGGAGACACACGGCGGGUGCUAACGUCCGUCGUGAAGAGGGAAACAACCCAGACCGCCAGCUAAGGUCCCAAAGUCAUGGUUAAGUGGGAAACGAUGUGGGAAGGCCCAGACAGCCAGGAUGUUGGCUUAGAAGCAGCCAUCAUUUAAAGAAAGCGUAAUAGCUCACUGGUCGAGUCGGCCUGCGCGGAAGAUGUAACGGGGCUAAACCAUGCACCGAAGCUGCGGCAGCGACGCUUAUGCGUUGUUGGGUAGGGGAGCGUUCUGUAAGCCUGCGAAGGUGGCCUGUGAGGGUUGCUGGAGGUAUCAGAAGUGCGAAUGCUGACAUAAGUAACGAUAAAGCGGGUGAAAAGCCCGCUCGCCGGAAGACCAAGGGUUCCUGUCCAACGUUAAUCGGGGCAGGGUGAGUCGACCCCUAAGGCGAGGCCGAAAGGCGUAGUCGAUGGGAAACAGGUUAAUAUUCCUGUACUUGGUGUUACUGCGAAGGGGGGACGGAGAAGGCUAUGUUGGCCGGGCGACGGUUGUCCCGGUUUAAGCGUGUAGGCUGAUUUUCCAGGCAAAUCCGGAAAAUCAAGGCUGAGGCGUGAUGACGAGGCACUACGGUGCUGAAGCAACAAAUGCCCUGCUUCCAGGAAAAGCCUCUAAGCAUCAGGUAACAUCAAAUCGUACCCCAAACCGACACAGGUGGUCAGGUAGAGAAUACCAAGGCGCUUGAGAGAACUCGGGUGAAGGAACUAGGCAAAAUGGUGCCGUAACUUCGGGAGAAGGCACGCUGAUAUGUAGGUGAAGUCCCUUGCGGAUGGAGCUGAAAUCAGUCGAAGAUACCAGCUGGCUGCAACUGUUUAUUAAAAACACAGCACUGUGCAAACACGAAAGUGGACGUAUACGGUGUGACGCCUGCCCGGUGCCGGAAGGUUAAUUGAUGGGGUUAGCGGUAACGCGAAGCUCUUGAUCGAAGCCCCGGUAAACGGCGGCCGUAACUAUAACGGUCCUAAGGUAGCGAAAUUCCUUGUCGGGUAAGUUCCGACCUGCACGAAUGGCGUAAUGAUGGCCAGGCUGUCUCCACCCGAGACUCAGUGAAAUUGAACUCGCUGUGAAGAUGCAGUGUACCCGCGGCAAGACGGAAAGACCCCGUGAACCUUUACUAUAGCUUGACACUGAACAUUGAGCCUUGAUGUGUAGGAUAGGUGGGAGGCUUUGAAGUGUGGACGCCAGUCUGCAUGGAGCCGGCCUUGAAAUACCACCCUUUAAUGUUUGAUGUUCUAACGUUGACCCGUUAUCCGGGUUGCGGACAGUGUCUGGUGGGUAGUUUGACUGGGGCGGUCUCCUCCUAAAGAGUAACGGAGGAGCACGAAGGUUGGCUAAUCCUGGUCGGACAUCAGGAGGUUAGUGCAAUGGCAUAAGCCAGCUUGACUGCGAGCGUGACGGCGCGAGCAGGUGCGAAAGCAGGUCAUAGUGAUCCGGUGGUUCUGAAUGGAAGGGCCAUCGCUCAACGGAUAAAAGGUACUCCGGGGAUAACAGGCUGAUACCGCCCAAGAGUUCAUAUCGACGGCGGUGUUUGGCACCUCGAUGUCGGCUCAUCACAUCCUGGGGCUGAAGUAGGUCCCAAGGGUAUGGCUGUUCGCCAUUUAAAGUGGUACGCGAGCUGGGUUUAGAACGUCGUGAGACAGUUCGGUCCCUAUCUGCCGUGGGCGCUGGAGAACUGAGGGGGGCUGCUCCUAGUACGAGAGGACCGGAGUGGACGCAUCACUGGUGUUCGGGUUGUCAUGCCAAUGGCACUGCCCGGUAGCUAAAUGCGGAAGAGAUAAGUGCUGAAAGCAUCUAAGCACGAAACUUGCCCCGAGAUGAGUUCUCCCUGACUCCUUGA